UCCCUCUCCUAAUAUAUUUUUCGCUCUCGUUAAUCAAUUUCGUAUGCGUCGCUGUUUAUCAAAGUCACCCUUACGUUUAUUUCUGUGUUUGCAACGGGGUGACUUUUCCCGCAUACCAAAAACAAAAACAAAGAAAAAGAAAAACAACAACAGCUGUGAAAUCAAUUACUGCCGGAUAUAGACAAGACAGGCAAGUGUUUUUUUAUUAUUAUUUGUUUUUUACAGUAAAGGAAACAGCUCAAGGGCAAAACACAAAAACAAAAACACACUCCGCACUGUGUUCGGAACGGGGUGACUUUUCCAGCACACCUAAAACAAAAACAAAGCAAAAGGAAAACAACAACAGCGGUGAAAUCAAUUACUGCCGGAUAUAGACAAGCAGGCAAGUGUUUUUUUUUUUUUUUUUUUUUUUUACAGUAGAGGAAACAGCUCAAGGGCAAAAAAAAAAAAAAAUCGGCACUGCUCCUGUAUAACCAAAUAUAGAAGAGAGUCUCUGUGUGUGUGUGUGUGUGUGUGUGUGUGUGUGUGUGUGCCCAGCGGCGGAUAAAUUUCCCAGCGCAUUCGAUCCUAACCUCCGCUGCGCUGUCUUCAAAUCCAGUUACUUGUUCCCUUAUUUGCUCCCCUCGGCAUCCGUCACCCCGCGCCGCUCCUCCGUCAUAAUUACACUGGUUUACGAUCGACUUUUUGUCCACUUGCCGCUCUAAUGAGGCGCCGGAUAACAGAGUGGAGCCGAACGUAUGUGGAGGACCCUCGAUCCACCCACUCCCUCCCUCAUGAUAGUGGUGGGUGGCUUUCUCCGCGCGCGAGGGAAAAAAUAGAAGGAAAAAAAAAUAAUUGCAGAGGAGUAAAUCUAACGAGCAGGCUUUGAAGAGUUUCUCCAUAAUCUGAUAUUCAAUAAUGCUUUUGAGUAUCACAAGUCAAUUAUUUAAGCAUUAUGUAUCUCGUUCGAUCUCGUUCGCUUUCUUGUCCUGUUUUUUUUUUUUUAUAUGCCGCUGGGAGAAAUCAAACUAGGGAGAGACAGAACAAGAAGACAGACAGACAGACAACAGGCAGGCUACAGAAAGAAUUGGAGAUAAAGAUAAACUAGUAGACAGACACAGACAGACAGACAGACAGAUACAGUUAGGCCAAGACACCACCCCACCCGAAAUUGACCCCUAUUAUUAUUAUUAUUAUUAUUAUGUUAUUGUUGUUGUUGUUGUUGUUGUGAUGGGGAGGGGAGGAGGAGAGGGGGAGGGAGGCUGCAGAACACUAUAUAACCAACGCACUCCUUCAGUACCACGAACCCAAAAAAACACUCAUUUGAAUCCGAUUAAUCUCUUGUUUGGCCUUUGAAAGUACUUAACGUGUGGAGUGGAAGCGUUUGAGGGCCAUAUCUUUGAACAUUUCGGAGCCCAAACUCACAAAUUUGACAUGGCUUUCUUAGGAGUUUCGGGGAUUUCCAGGGGUAGUUUAAUGACUCUGGUGGUAGUCUGAUCCUUCUUCAGUACCACGAACCCCAAAAAACACUCAUUUGAAUCCGAUUAAUCUCUUGUUUGGCCUUUGAAAGUAGUUAACGUGUGGAGUGGAAGCGUUUGAGGGCCAUAUCUUUGAACAUUUCGGAGCCCAAACUCACAAAUUUGACAUGGCUUCCCUAGGAGUUUCGGGCAUUUCCAGGGGUAGUUUAAUAACUCUGGUGGUAGUCUGAUCCUUCCUCUAUACCGUAAACCUAAAACCACACUCAUUAGAACCCGAUUAAUCUCUUUUUUGACCUUUGGAUAUAAGUGAUGUGAUGGGUGGAAGCGUCUCACAAAUUUGACAUGGCUUUCCAAGGAGUUUCGGGCAUUUCCAGGGGUAGUUUAAUGACUGGUGGUAGUGUGAUCCUUCCUCUGUACCGUAAACCUAAAAACACACUCAUUAGAACCUGACUAAUCUCCUUUUUUGGCCUUUGAAAAUGGUUAGUGAGAGCCAGAAGCGUCUGAGAAUUACACCCCCCACCCCCCACCCCCCGAGCAGUAUUACGACAGACCCCCUUUAAAGAACACCAAAGAAAAUCGUCUCUAUCGUAGGACAUCCUUUCUGGCGGACUGAGCGGGUGGGUGGGUGGGCGGUCUCUUACUCAACUCCCAAACCUGAACAAGCUUAUUAUUCGAAAUUGGCCUAAUGAAGAUGGAGGUGGCCGCCGGCGCUGCUCAGCUUUUGUGGCGUAAAGUAAUUUCCUUGUGGCCCGAUACAUCAAGGUCAGGGCGCUGUGGUGUCAUUAUACGGGUGGUGGAGGAGGAGGAAGAGGUAUAUAUAGGAGGCCAUGGAUAGUCGCUCCCUCACAUCAACUUUUUUUUUUUUUUUUUUUUUACAGCUAAGGAGACAGCUCAAGGGCGCAAAGAAACAUAUUAAAAAAAAAAGCCCGCUACUUACUGCUCCUGAAUAGAGGUCAAAGGAGUGGUCAAAAAGAGAGGUCAGUUUCGGGAGGAGUGGUGUCCUGAUACCCUAUUUUCAGAGGCCAAAAAAAGAAGUUCAAUCGAGUUCUAAUAAGUGUGUUUUUAAGUUCAAGGUACAGAAGAAAGGUGAAGGUAUCGGAAGGGUCAUAAAACUACCCAAAAAAGGGAUUCCAUCGAGUUCUAGUGAGUGUGUUUUUAAGCUCAAGGUACAGAAGAAAGGUGAAGGUAUCGGAAGGGUCAUAAAACUACCCAAAAAAAGGGGUUCCAUCGAGUUCUAGUGAGUGUGUUUAUAAGCUCAAGGUACAGAAGAAAGGUGAAGCUAUCGGAGGGGUCAUAAAACUACCC